GUUCUUCCUUCUUCUAGGUUCUUCGUUCUUGGUCAACUUUGAUGCGUUUUCUGGCGUUCUUCGGGCGUUUCUAGGCAAUCUUCCGGCAACCUUCGGGCGUUCUUCCUUCUUCUUGGUUCUUCGUUCUUGGUCAACUUUGAUGCGUUUUCUGGCGUUCUUCGGGCGUUUCUAGGCAAUCUUCCGGCAACCUUCGGGCGUUCUUCCUUCUUCUAGGUUCUUCGUUCUUGGUCAACUUUGAUGCGUUUUCUGGCGUUCUUCGGGCGUCACUAGGCAAUCUUCCGGCAACCUUCGGGCGUUCUUCCUUCUUCUUGGUUCUUCGUUCUUGGUCAACUUUGAUGCGUUUUCUGGCGUUCUUCGGGCGUUUCUAGGCAAUCUUCCGGCAACCUUCGGGCGUUCUUCCUUCUUCUUGGUUCUUCGUUCUUGGUCAACUUUGAUGCGUUUUCUGGCGUUCUUCGGGCGUUUCUAGGCAAUCUUCCGGCAACCUUCGGGCGUUCUUCCUUCUUCUUGGUUCUUCGUUCUUGGUCAACUUUGAUGCGUUUUCUGGCGUUCUUCGGGCGUUUCUAGGCAAUCUUCCGGCAACCUUCGGGCGUUC